UUAGAGGAAGUAAAAGUCGUAUCAUGGUUUCCGUAGGUGAACCUGCGGAAGGAUCAUUA
rnacentral:rRNA from 1 species